UGCCACUGAAGAGUUUGGACUUGAUUCUGUUGUCAGGUUGUUUGUUUAAGCAGUUGAGAGUAAAGACACCCACAUUGGACAUUAGGGAGGUGCUGCUGCAGGACCAUGUGAGAUGGAUCAUAGGUGGGUGAGCCAAGUGAGAAAAUGUAAGUGCUGAUACUGUAUUACAUCAUCAGUGAUGGUGCAUCCCUGAAUCAGGAAAAUGAAAUAGAUGAGGAAGAAUGGGCUGGAGAAACAGCACAGAAAAGAAUCUAUACGACCUCAAGGCUAGGUAUGGAGGCUAAGAGAGAAGGAGAGGAAGGAAGAGGACAGGAGACAGGAAAGAACACUGGUGAGAACACAGAGAAAGGAGACACAAUGGCCCCCCAGCUCUCAAUAAUAAAGAUCACAGCAGAUUUCUUCCCACUGUGUUUGUGAUACUGUCAGGAUACCCAGAGAGAUAGGCCGGAAGUAAGGUCUAGAACUUAGAACAGGUCAACUCUACUACAAUGACUUUGGAAAUGAGCCAGGUAUAAGAGGUAGUUGACAUGACAGGGAGAAGAUUAGACAAGAAAAUAAGCCCUCAAGAACUAUAGCAUUUAGGGGACAAAAAGAAUCCUUUCCCCAAAAGAUGGGAGUCAGCAGUGAAGACACUGGGAGAGCAUAAGAGACCAAGGGAGAAGCAGACCUUGUAAGUCACAUGUUGUGUCCAUUUUCAAGAUGGUAUCCAGAUUUGGCAAUCUGACCAUUGGCAACAGCCUUUUGGAAUAAGAGGAGAUUAAAAACAGUUGCAAUGGCUUUAAGAAUAAGGAUGAAGUGAGUAGAUAAAAGACUUUCAUAGAACAACCGUUCAAAUAUAUUUUAAAGAAUUUCCACUUUCAGCAAUGAGAAGACAAGGUGGUGCAGAAUUAACUUUAAACUCAGAUAACUAGAAAACCAGAAAAAAUAUAGGAAACAACUAUUUUCAGAAGUUGGGGACCAGAGAGGGAGACAAAUGAGGCGAGCUCUCCCAUCUCCUAGGCUUUCUGUCUGGCAGCAGCUCACACACCACGGUGCAAGGAAAGGAAGCCCAACACUGCAGGCACGAGGGGCUUCUGAAUUGGAGGGUGCUAAGGUGGGUGGCAUUUGGAGUCAGAUGGCCUGAAAGGAGGCAGCUACACAGAGAAAGAGCUCCAGAAAUCUACACGCAUCUUCUUGAGUUCUUGAAAACUAACUUGUGUGUAAGGAAAACACCACAAGCCCAGACAAGAUCGUCUGUGAAAAUAAUAAUCACCAAGCAGCAUUUGAUGAACAAUUGUGGCCAUGCCUGCAGAGCACAACUGGAGGGAGAAUUUGCUGAGUACACAAGCUGAACACACUGGAUAUUUAGUCAAAACGAGCCUCACCAUGGAACUGAGGCCACCUCCGGCCUUAAAAUGAAAUCUACUCUGAAGCCAGACUAAAAGAGACAAAAAACAAGCUAAAGACAAGAAACAAUCAGUAUGUAACUUAACUGUGUGACAGGAAAGAUUCGACAAUCAAAUUACAGAAUAGAAAUUCAGCCCUCAGGACAGAAAAUUCACAAUGUCUGUCAUUCAACCAAAAAAUUAUUAACCACAAGAAUGAUGAAAAUGUGAUCCACAACCAGAAGAAAAAUUAGUUGAUGGAUAAUUGAUUGGGGAAGUAUGGUGAAGGAUAGCAGGAUAGCUCAGUGGUAGAGUGCAUGCUUAGUAUGCCUGUAGCCCUCUAUUUGAUCCCUAAUUUUAACAAAAAAAGGAAGGGAGAGAGGGAUCAAUGAUUAUGCAAAUAGAUGAAAAAGAACUUUUAAAACUAUACUUCAGACACACUGUGUAUGCCAAAGGGUGUGUUAGGGUUUGGGGCCUCCAAAACUGGAGUGUAGGCCUCACUGUGAUAUAAACAAGGUGGAUAUUCAAUCUGUGACAUGUCAUUUUUUGUUUUGUUUUUGUAUUUUUGGUACCGGAGAUCGAACUCGAGACCUUGUGCUUGCUAGGCAGGCAGCGGGACCACUGAACUAAAUCCCUGGCCCUGGAUAUUCAAUCUGAUAAUGGUGUUUAGAGGCUGAUGUUUGGGAGGUGAUCAGGACUACAUAAGGUGAUUGAAUCCUGGUAGCUUUAUAAGAAGAGAUAGACAAGAAAACACACACACACACCCUGUCUUUUGCCAUGUGAUGACCAGUACUGCACCUCCCUGAGACUCUUCCUGCAAGAGGGUCAUCACCAGAUGCUGUCCUUCAACCUUGGAUCUCCAGAGCUGCGAACCUAGAAAAUCAACCAAAUAGGAAAAACCUGAAGAAGAAAGGAAGGAGAACAGAAAAUCAAAUCAUUAUCCACACAGAGGACAUAGGGUGCCCAGAGAAAAGCUCUAGAACAUCUGGGAAGUUAAUUUAAAAAUGGAUUGUGGAUUCAGAGCUUGAUAAAGUCUCCUAAGAAGCUGGGAAUGCAUCUCACAAUAGGACUCCGCAUAAAUCCUCAUGAAUUUAAAUUAAUAGUUGAUUGAUAUUCCAUCCUUGUGUAGGA